CAUUCUAUCUAAUCACACCCUUAGAGAUAAAAGAUGGAUUGUCUGUUUCCAUCACCUCUAGUCAAGAGUGUUAUAUCCCCGCAGCUAAAAUUCGUGCUAUGUUACAUCAAUUGGGUUCAUCGAAAAAUACAGACCGUAACUGAAACCAGUGAUAUCCUACAUUACAGUACAAUGUACACACAAUUUUGGUAAGUACACAAAGAGGCGCACCCUCCUCAUUCACUUUUUUCCGAUACACCCUUUCCGUCUUCGACUUCUCGUAAAUACUUCCGUUUAUCUUCUGCAGAAUCAAAAGUCUACGUUUAAAUUGCCAAAUGAAAAAAAAAAAGUUGAUUGAUUGGCUGUUUGCUAAUCUGGGUUUCUUCCAAAAUUUCAAAUUUCGAUAAAGAUUGACCAUGAAAUGGCUUGUUUGUGACUCAACGAGUUGGUGUUUUGAAAUUUCUAAUUUUUGAUUACUUGUUAAAGUUUGUUAAUCAAUGGAGGCUUAUAAGACAUGGGUUAGGAGGAACAAAGACUAUGUGCACUCCUUGCAAUCUCUUGCCAAUGGAUUGACAUGGCUGCUUCCUGAAAGGUUCUCCAAUUCACAGAUAGGUCCAGAAGCAGUAACUGCAACUUUGGGCACACUCACUGCCAUCAACGAGCAUAUAAUCGAUACUGCCCCUGAAGAGAGCCAUACUGGCUUGGCUGACCCUUUGUCAUUCCCUUAUGGGUUGUACAUAUCUGCACUAAAGGACUUGGGAACUUUGGUUGAAGUUGUGGCAGAGCAAUACUAUGGUGAUAAGAGAUGGAGUUUUAUUGCUGUUAGGAAGCUACCAAAACUGUGGAUAUAAAAUGCUUCUGCAUGGAGGAGAGACACCAAAUGUUGGAAAGAUUCUGAUGAUACAAGUUUACAAUAUAAAGUUGGGGGCUUCCCUUUUGAGCCGAUUUGGAGAGAGUGCUUGGAUGAUAUCUGACCCAUUAUGGGUGCAGAGAAGUAAACAACAGCAUGCAAUUAUAAAGCCUCAAACUUCAACUAUUGAAAGGCGUACUCUCUCUAUGAUUUUAUCGGAGAAGUGUGUUAAUGGAGCUAUAUUUAUUCUCGGGAAGGUCCUCUUUAUUACGAGGCCACUUAGGGAUAUCUUGUAAAUCCCUUAAAUCAUGGGAUAUGGUUAAUCUCGACUGUCAAUGUAAAUGUAUCUUGUCCGUCGGUUUUGGGGAGCUCAAGUAUAAAUAGAGAGCUUCCCCCUCACUUGUAAAUCAUCCAUUGUAUUUGAGAGUUCUUAAGAGUAAUAGAAUUUUGAGAGCAUUUACUCAAAUAUCUUGUGUGCGAUCUUUUCUGUAGCUUUCUGUUGUUCUUUGGUUGCUUCUUUUGGCAUAAGUUUGCUUCCACUAUUCGAUUUGGUGCCUUGGAGGAGUUCUUAAGAAAUCCUCAUUCGAGUAAAGGCUGACUUAGGCGAGUUUGGACGAGCGAAUCACCUAAGGCUGCACUGAUUGCGAGACGAAAGGUCUAGCCUAGUGACAAGUGGUAUCCGAGCUAUUGGUUCGAAGGCACUGUUGGGAUGUCGAAAGAAGUCGUUGGUCAGAAUGAGCCAAUGGAGAUCCGAGGAAGGGCCAGAAAAGCAAGUCGAUCAAGGGACUUGUUGUCAGCUUUGGAGGAUCGAGUCGCCACUUUCAAGGAGUCCAUGGAAGACGUCAAGGAGAGGAUUGGCGAUGUCGAUGAUAGACUCAUUGAUGGGUUGCAAACGAUGAAGAAGCAGCUCAGGGAAUAUGUGUGGGAUAAGUGCUUUUGAAAAUUUUUGUUUAAAAUUUGAGUGUUUAGCAUUGCUGUCAAAAAGUACUUUUGAGAAAUAAAAUGUCUAUUUUAGACAUAUUAUUAUCAAGUAAUAAA